GAAUCAUUUACUUUAACUCUCUUUUGUGGAGUCAGCCUUCAAUCUUUGCCCUGCCUAGUCAUACUGCCUGCCUGUGAGAAGAGAAAGUGGUGGAAAAGUAGCAAGAAAUACUUUCUCAAAAUGCUUUCAUGGUGAAGGGUCAGCAGCAUAAUGUACCUGAGAGACUAUGCACUCCAGUUUUUCUCCAGGGACAAGAGGGAAAUGUAAUCUGUCAAGCAACUGUGAACCUUGAUAGCUGAACAGACAGGCAGAAAGGAACCUCACUACUAUGGCUUAGGAACAAAUUUGUAUCAUCAAAGAAAAUGGGUUUGGAGCCAGAGCUGAGGAGAGAAUACUGUGGCAGAAGCCUCUUCCAGACCCACUGUGCCUGUUGUGAACUGAGGCAGUUUCAUCCAUGUGCUGUGUGAACAGGUCACAGAUGCCUAUCAAACCUAGGCAAAUGAUUCUUCUGCCCAACCAGAAAACCAGAAGCCCCCGG